rnacentral:lncRNA from 1 species
UGUGGACACCAAUCCUUCGUGCUCCACCUCCUUGUGGUCCGGCAAUCCCAUAAUUGGUAGAUCCGAUAAGCAUACCCUUCUGCUCGACAGUCACAUCACCUGCCCUGGACUUCCCUAGAGAAAUCCUCUCUACCUGUGGAGCCACCUCAGCUCGGUGCUCCAUCUGAAAUCGAAGUUCAUUUGAUGUCAUAGAAGCAUCUGACUCUGUACCUGAGUCGCCCCGAGGUCAGCCACCCAACAUUGUCCUGCUGAGCCUGCCACUGCAUCUCGUACACUGUCGCUGUCCCUUUGGAUCUUCCACACUAUUCGGACCUCUCUGAAGCCAUUUCGGAUACCUCCCAUCCUAUAAGCACCUCCGAAACCCAAGAGCUCACUCAAUUCUUCAAAACUAAUGACUGAACCUAGGGGAUUUCAUCCUAGCACUUCAUCCUCUCCUGCCCCUGCACCAACCGUCGCUUCAACUUCUUUUGAAAGAACUGCAGAUUCUCCGGCAAGCAUCGAACCUACCUAUCAUCACCUGGGCUAGUCACUGCCCCCACAUAGGUAUCCCACGUCCUCUCCCACUACCACCACUACAACCGAUAUGGUCUCCCUAGAACCUUGAUCCACGAUGCACGCAAUUCUGUAUAAAUCAAUACAGUGCAUCACUGCC